AUUGAACGCUGGCGGCAGGCUUAACACAUGCAAGUCGAACGAGUGGCGGACGGGUGAGUAAUGCUUGGGAAUCUAGCUUAUGGAGGGGGAUAACUACGGGAAACUGUAGCUAAUACCGCGUACCAUAGGAUGAGCCCAAGUGGGAUUAGGUAGUUGGUGAGGUUAAGGCUCACCCAGCCGACGCGCUCUAGCUGGUCUGAGAGGAUGCCCCGCCAACCUGGGACUGAGACACGGCCCAGACUCCUACGGGAGGCAGCAGUGGGGAAUAUUGCGCAAUGGGGGCAACCUGACGCAGCCAUGCCGCGUGAAUGAAGAAGGCCUUCGGGUUGUAAAGUUCUUUCGGUAGCGAGGCGUUAACUACAGAAGAAGCACCGGCUAACUCCGUGCCAGCAGCCGCGGUAAUUC
rnacentral:rRNA from 1 species